GCGAAGCGUGAUUUUAUAUUUUUUAAACACAUCUUUAAAGGAAGUGUAGUAUUGUGGGCUGGUGCUGCUCUAAAAUUGUUUUCUGUCAGCUUAAUUUCCGUGACACUGUCGUGUAUAAAGGAGGUUCGAUAAUCGAUGCUUUAAAACACAGAAACACAAAUAAAACAAUGCAAACACAAUUUGUAUUUUACGUAAAUGCCGGUUUAAGAUGAAACCUGUCACUUGUGAUAUGUCACCCAUCCUACUUCACUUGAACAUUUUCUGAAUCCACUUCGUUCAGUUUUAGGGCAGUGGGAGAUCUGAACUGAUGCUGCCAUCAUGGGACUCAAGUUAAGAUAACAAUUCUGAAUGGGUUAUCAGUUUAUGGUUCAUGGCAGGCCAAAGCCUAUCCUGGCAGCAUUGAAUGCUAAGCAGAAAACAGUCCUGAACAGUCCUUCAUAAGGCCCACUCACUCCGUUUAGAUCUACCCAUCAACCUAAGUUCCAUGUGUUUGGAGAUAUGGGAGGAAGACCGGAGCACCCAAAAAAGAAAACCACUCAGACACUAGAAGAACUUGCAAAAUCCAAACAGACAACAUUCAGCCACAGGAUUUGAACCAAACACACUGGAUCUAUGAGUCUGUAGUGUCACCAAGUGGAACGCACAGCUGCAGCUAUGCUGAGCAGAGCACUUUUGCUUAAUAAAAAUCAACGACUAAUGAAUUUAGCACCCAAAGUCACACUCUCACCUUGUCAUAUAUGUUUAGCACCAGUUUCACUUAAAUUCUUUCAUUCAUUACACAGAUAUUGUGGGAUGAGACACUGGGACCCAAAACAUAUCUCAGUAACAAAUAACAGAAGGUAAGAAUCAGACCUGAUAGAGACAUUUAUACUCGUUCAAACUGAGCCAACUGGUUGCUGUUGGUUAAUUGAUAAUCCACAUCUUUAGGAUAUUUUGAUUGUUUCAGUUAUUUGCAUCCCCAUAUUAGAAAAGACCACUUAAUUAAACUGUAGCACCUUAAACAAAUGUGCGUGUGUGUUGGGGGUCCUUAGCACUGUGGUUAACUAUAAUGGAAUGUUAAGCCUCAUUUAGUGUUCCAGUGCCUCACAGGACAAAAACAUACAAUCCACUUCCAUCCAGUCAUAUAACAUACAUUCUAAGCAUGUGGGGGCACUGGGCUCAUAAGAGGAACCAACCUUAGACAGGGUGCCAGUCCAUCAUAAGACUCCCUCAUGCUCACUCCAACACCCACAACAAACCAUUUUGGAGUCACUGCAGUUAUAACAUGAGCCAUAAAAUAUGAAAUAAAACAUUAUUUAUGAGAUUGUACAUGCAGCGCGUUACUGCUACUAUGCUUCUCAAAAAUGUUUUUUGACUUGGAAAUGAAAAUGUAGCUUUCCUCACUAUUUGACAAGGUAUACUUUAAGAGCCAUAAUGGUUGUUGAUAUGUACAGUAGUUUGCGGAUGGCUGUAGGUUUUUGGAAACAUUACACUGUUGCAUAUUCUGGGUGGUCAUAGAAUCACAAAUGUAUGUUUAGUUUAAUGUGGAUGUACUUUACAUAACAAGGAAAAUGCAAUUUUACUAACAACGUAUUACGUUCCAAAAAUGAGGGGUAUUUCUUGUAGCAUACUGAUGACAGCAUGAUUAUUCAGCUUUAUUGAGAAAUUCAGAAUAAAAUGACACCUCACAGUUGCACUCGCUCUUCUUUUUAGCAUUUUUAAUUUCAGACUAUGCUUCUAAGACUUGCAAUGAUUUUAGGUUGGCUUGGAAAGUUGCCCUCGGCAGCUUCAUGCAAUUUUCUUACCUAAAUGUUAUGCAUACUGUAUUUGUCUGGACCAUUUCUGCAUAUUCUAGCAAAACUGAAUGUCAAAAUAAAGCAGAAACAAGCAAUAGAAGACCUGCUUUGCAAUAAUAUUAAAUGUACCCUGACCAUAACUGGCUUAAUCCUAAACCAAGCUGCCAUAUUUAUUCACCUCCUAGAAGGUGAUUGAUGGAGAAGUUCAGUAACAGUGAAGUCCCAAUCAUGAUUUGGAAGAGUUAGGCUUUAAUGAUGGAAAUGGACUAUUAAGGCGUGGAACAUUAUUACAUUAUCCAGCAGGAGCCAAAACUUGUGCAAGAGGCUGAAAAAUCAAUGUUAAACUUACCAUACAUACUCGCGGAUAAGUUCUCCCACGGAUAAAUCAGGACUUGAUUUUACUGUAUAAUUUCUGGUAUUUUAUAU